CUGUUUUACCAAUGCGGAAUUCGGAGUUCGGCCUCGACGCUCGCAUCGCCUUAAUUAAGAUCAACAGAUGUUUCGCCACUUCUAGUUGCAGCAACAACAACAACAACAACAAAUGCAGCAACUGAGGGAAGAGCUCCUCCCUCAGCAGCAACAAGUUCACCAACCGAGGGAGGACCCCCUCCCUCAGGAGCAAGAGAUGACUACUAAAAUAAAAAAUGAUGAGGCGAAGCCACCGCGAAAGAGAGGAGCAGCGGCUGGCGUGAAGCGGCGCUUGAGGGGAUACCGCUGGGGAAGGGG